rnacentral:rRNA from 1 species
CCCUUAGACGUUCUGGGCCGCACGCGCGCUACACUGACCAGUGCAACAAGCAUCCGUCCUUGGCCGACAGGCCCGGGCAAUCUUUGAACGCUGGUCGUGAUGGGGAUAGACUUUUGCAAUUUUUGGUCUUCAACGAGGAAUUCCUAGUAAACGCAAGUCAUCAACUUGCAUUGAUUACGUCCCUGCCCUUUGUACACACCGCCCGUCGCACCUACCGAUUGAAUGGUCCGGUGAAGCCUCCGGAUUGGCGCGCACCUCGGUGCCGCCGAGAAGUUGGCUAAACCUUACCAUUUAGAGGAAGGUGUAGUCGUAACA